AGGCCUAACACAUGCAAGUCGAACGGGUAACAGGAAGCAGCUUGCUGCUUUGCUGACGAGUGGCGGACGGGUGAGUAAUGUCUGGGAAACUGCCUGAUGGAGGGGGAUAACUACUGGAAACGGUAGCUAAUACCGCAUAACGUCGCAAGACCAAAGAGGGGGACCUUCGGGCCUCUUGCCAUCGGAUGUGCCCAGAUGGGAUUAGCUAGUAGGUGGGGUAAAGGCUCACCUAGGCGACGAUCCCUAGCUGGUCUGAGAGGAUGACCAGCCACACUGGAACUGAGACACGGUCCAGACUCCUACGGGAGGCAGCAGUGGGGAAUAUUGCACAAUGGGCGCAAGCCUGAUGCAGCCAUGCCGCGUGUAUGAAGAAGGCCUUCGGGUUGUAAAGUACUUUCAGCGGGGAGGAAGGGAGUAAAGUUAAUACCUUUGCUCAUUGACGUUACCCGCAGAAGAAGCACCGGCUAACUCCGUGCCAGCAGCCGCGGUAAUACGGAGGGUGCAAGCGUUAAUCGGAAUUACUGGGCGUAAAGCGCACGCAGGCGGUUUGUUAAGUCAGAUGUGAAAUCCCCGGGCUCAACCUGGGAACUGCAUCUGAUACUGGCAAGCUUGAGUCUCGUAGAGGGGGGUAGAAUUCCAGGUGUAGCGGUGAAAUGCGUAGAGAUCUGGAGGAAUACCGGU
rnacentral:rRNA from 1 species